AUCUGACUACGCUCUACACCCUUUGUGACAUACCUAUAACUGUUGCUUCGGCGGGCAGGGUCUCCGUGACCCUCCCGGCCUCCCGCCCCCGGGCGGGUCGGCGCCCGCCGGAGGAUAACCAAACUCUGAUUUAACGACGUUUCUUCUGAGUGGUACAAGCAAAUAAUCAAAACUUUUAACAACGGAUCUCUUGGUUCUGGCAUCGAUGAAGAACGCAGCGAAAUGCGAUAAGUAAUGUGAAUUGCAGAAUUCAGUGAAUCAUCGAAUCUUUGAACGCACAUUGCGCCCGCCAGCAUUCUGGCGGGCAUGCCUGUUCGAGCGUCAUUUCAACCCUCAAGCUCUGCUUGGUGUUGGGGCCCUACAGCUGAUGUAGGCCCUCAAAGGUAGUGGCGGACCCUCCCGGAGCCUCCUUUGCGUAGUAACUUUACGUCUCGCACUGGGAUCCGGAGGGACUCUUGCCGUAAAACCCCCAAUUUUCCAAAGGUUGACCUCGGAUCAGGUAGGAAUACCCGCUGAACUUAAGCAUAUCAAAGGCCCGGAGGAA
rnacentral:rRNA from 1 species